GAUGAACGCAAGCGGCAGGCUUAAUACAUGCAAGUCGAGGGGCAGCAUAGUGUAGCAAUACAUGGGUGGCGACCGGCAAACGGGUGCGGAACACGUACAGAACCUUCCUUCGAGCGGGGAAUAGCCCAGAGAAAUUUGGAUUAAUACCCCAUAGUAUAUUGUGGUGGCAUCACUAUAAUAUUAAAGAUUUAUCACUUGAAGAUGGCUGUGCGUCUGAUUAGGUAGUUGGUGAGGUAAUGGCUCACCAAGCCAGCGAUCAGUAACUGGUGUGAGGACCCGACAAGGCACACGGGCACUGAGACACGGGCCCGACUCCUACGGGAGGCAGCAGGAAGGAAUAUUGGUCGAUGGACGCAAGUCUGACCCAGCCAUGCCGCGUGGAGGAUGAAGGUCCUCUGGAUUGUAAACUUCUUUUAUAUGGGACGAAAAAAGGCUUUUCUAAGUCGUCUGACGGUACCAUAUGAAUAAGCACCGGCUAACUCCGUGCCAGCCGCCGAGGUAACCC
rnacentral:rRNA from 1 species